rnacentral:rRNA from 1 species
UGGGUAACCUGCCUCAAAGAGGGGAAUAGCCUCCCGAAAGGGAGAUUAAUACCGCAUAAUAUGUUUUAAUCGCAUGAUUUUAACAUCAAAGGAUUUUCUUCGGAACUUCCACUUUGAGAUGGACCCGCGGCGCAUUAGCUAGUUGGUGAGGUAACAGCUCACCAAGGCAACGAUGCGUAGCCGACCUGAGGAGGGUGAUCGGCCACAUUGGAACUGAGACGACGGUCAGACCUCUACGGGAG